GACGAACGCUGGCGGCGUGCUUAACACAUGCAAGUCGAACGGAAAGGCCCUGCUUUUGUGGGGUGCUCGAGUGGCGAACGGGUGAGUAACACGUGAGUAACCUGCCCUUGACUUUGGGAUGACUUCAGGAAACUGGGACUAAUACCGGAUAGGAGCUCCUGCUGCAUGGUGGGGGUUGGAAAGUUUCGGCGGUUGGGGAUGGACUCGCGGCUUAUCAGCUUGUUGGUGGGGUAGUGGCUUACCAAGGCUUUGACGGGUAGCCGGCCUGAGAGGGUGACCGGCCACAUUGGGACUGAGAUACGGCCCAGACUCCUACGGGAGGCAGCAGUGGGGAAUAUUGCACAAUGGGCGGAAGCCUGAUGCAGCAACGCCGCGUGCGGGAUGACGGCCUUCGGGUUGUAAACCGCUUUCGCCUGUGACGAAGCGUGAGUGACGGUAAUGGGUAAAGAAGCACCGGCUAACUACGUG
rnacentral:rRNA from 1 species